rnacentral:rRNA from 1 species
AUUGAACGCUGGCGGCAGGCUUAACACAUGCAAGUCGAGCGAGUGGCGGACGGGUGAGUAAUGCCUGGGAAUCUGCCUGAUGGAGGGGGAUAACUACGGGAAACGGUAGCUAAUACCGCAUACCAUCAGAUGUGCCCAGAUGGGAUUAGCUAGUUGGUGGGGUAAUGGCUCACCAAGGCGACGAUCCCUAGCUGGUCUGAGAGGAUGACCAGCCACACUGGGACUGAGACACGGUCCAGACUCCUACGGGAGGCAGCAGUGGGGAAUAUUGCGCAAUGGUCGCAAGCCUGAUGCAGCCAUGCCGCGUGAGUGAAGAAGGCCUUCGGGUUGUAAAGCACUUUCAGUGGGGAGGCGUUACUCGCAGAAGAAGCACCGGCUAACUCCGUGCCAGCAGCCGCGGUAAUUC